AAACAACAUUGUCGCAAGUAAUGACCUUCUGACAACAGUUAGAGAUUUCUAGCAUGGCUGACACAAGUAACCAUGGAUCCCUCAUUGAUGAAUGGUUGCCGACCCUACACCAAGCCCAAAGAACUCUCAUGUCAUGCUGAAUGAAAAAUUCAGCUCUCGCUCAAUAUCUGGUCUUUUUAGUGAACAUGGAACCAAUAAGCCCCACGAUCAAUCUGAAAAAGCAGAGAAGUUGUGAAUUCUGCUUUUCUUUACAAUAAAAUGGGGAUAUAACAGCUUUAAGCACAAUGAGAAAUGAGUCCAUCAUUAGUGAGAUCCAAGCCCAGCUAAAGCACAAGAAUGUCACAGUGGAUGUCAAAGCAAAUUCAGACCCUCAUAUUAGUCCUAUUCAGCUCUCAACUACAGUCACAGUCGAGGAACUUGGUUUACCAGGCUUGAAAAACAUAAUGGCCAUUUCUUAUCCACAUCAAGCAUUUGGGAGGGUA